UCCGAUGUAGUGUAGGGGUUAUCACUGCGCUCUUUCACAGCGCUAACGGGGGUUCGAAUCCCCCCAUCGGAG
rfam:Penicillium nalgiovense strain IBT 13039 PENNAL_contig0012, whole genome shotgun sequence.